rnacentral:rRNA from 1 species
AACGAACGCUGGCGGCAUGCCUAACACAUGCAAGUCGAACGAGACCUUCGGGUCUAGUGGCGCACGGGUGCGUAACACGUGGGAAUCUGCCCUUUGCUUCGGAAUAACAGUUAGAAAUGACUGCUAAUACCGGAUGAUGUCGAAAGACCAAAGAUUUAUCGGCAAAGGAUGAGCCCGCGUAGGGUUAGGUAGUUGGUGGGGUAAAGGCCUACCAAGCCGACGAUCCUUAGCUGGUCUGAGAGGAUGAUCAGCCACACUGGGACUGAGACACGGCCCAGACUCCUACGGGAGGCAGCAGUGGGGAAUAUUGGACAAUGGGCGAAAGCCUGAUCCAGCAAUGCCGCGUGAGUGAUGAAGGCCUUAGGGUUGUAAAGCUCUUUUACCAGGGAUGAUAAUGACAGUACCUGGAGAAUAAGCUCCGGCUAACUCCGUG